GCCGAGGGCCGUACCACCCUGAGAACACCUGAGCUCCUCUGAUCUCGGAAGCUAAGCAGGGUUAGUACUUGGAUGUUAGGCUGCCUGGGAAUACUGGGUGCUAUAGGCU
rnacentral:rRNA from 1 species